AGCAACCAAGUGGGAAAUUGGUUCUAAAUCCUGGGCCAUCUGCAGAGAGAAUAGAGAGACCUUCAGAGUUAAAUUGUUUGACAAUAAGAAGAGAUUAACAGUUGUAGGCUUUAAAAAAUUUCAGAGCAACAUCAUGAGGAGGUUUGCCUUGGAAACCUGAGGAGAUUUCAAUUUAGAGAGCUUCAGAUGGCAACAAACAACUUCAGCAGCAAGUACUUGGUUGGAUGAUGAAUUGAAGGAUGGAGCAAGUUUCAUGCAUGAUUUACUUUUGUGUAUCUUGUAAUGUUUUUGUUUUUCAUUUUUAAAGUAAAAAAUGUUCAAGAUUAUAAAAAUUUAUUAUGUUAUGCUUUCAAAUUUAAGUUAGAACUAAGAUCUCAUGAAGUAGACAUAUUCAUGGUUUGAAUUAGUUAUUGUUUAAUGUAAUACUUGUGGUUUAUCAAUCUAUUGAGAAUUACAUUU